GCGGCAAUAGCUGAGUGGUAAAGCCUCCGCUUCGGGUGCGGUAAGACCCAGGUUCGAUUCCCGGAUGCUUGCC
rnacentral:tRNA from 1 species